UGUCCUGUUUGUCCACAAUUGUAGCAUGUUUUUGGCCUGGCAUCUAAAGCCAAAAACAUGCUACAAUUGUGAACAAACAGGACA
rnacentral:miRNA from 1 species